GUUGCGGUUAAAAGCUCGUAGUUGGAUUUCUGUCGAGGAUGGCCGGUCCGCACUUUGUGCGUGCAUCUGGUUCAGCCUUGGCAUCCUCUUGGGGAACGUAUCUGCGCUUAAUUGCGUGGUGCGGAAUUCAAGACUUUUACUUUGAGGAAAUUAGAGUGUUCACGGCAGGCAAUCGCCUUGAAUACAUUAGCAUGGAAUAAUAAUAUAGGACCUUGGUCCCAUUUUGUUGGUUUCUGGAACUAAGGUAAUGAUUAAUAGGGAUAAUUGGGGGCAUUCGUAUUAACGCGUCAGAGGUGGAAUUCUUGGAUUGCGUUACGACGAACUACUGCGAAAGCAUUUGCCAAGGAUGUUUUCAUUGAUCAAGAACGAAAGUUCGGGGA
rnacentral:rRNA from 1 species